rnacentral:rRNA from 1 species
GUGGGGAAUUUUGGACAAUGGGGGAAACCCUGAUCCAGCGACGCCGCGUGGAGGACGAAGGCUUUCGGGUUGUAAACUCCUUUUGUCGGGGACGAAGGCGCGCGAGCGUCUGACGGUACCUGACGAAUAAGCCACGGCUAACUACGUGCCAGCAGCCGCGGUAAUACGUAGGUGGCGAGCGUUACUCGGAAUUACUAGGCGUAAAGCGCGUGUAGGCGGGGGCUUAAGUCGGCUGUGAAACCCCAGGGCUCAACCCUGGGCGUGCGGCCGAUACUGGGUCUCUUGGGUUGGGCAGAGGCGGACGGAAUUCCGGGUGUAGCAGUGAAAUGCGCAGAUAUCCGGAAGAACGCCGAAGGCGAAAGCAGUCCGCUGGGCCCUGACCGACGCUGAGACGCGAAAGCUAGGGGAGCGAACAGG